GAGUUUGAUCGUGGCUCAGGAUGAACGCUGGCGGCGUGCCUAACACAUGCAAGUCGAACGGAGUUCUUAAGGAAUGCGGCUUCGGCCAAAUGACUUUUGAACUUAGUGGCGGACGGGUGAGUAACGCGUGAGCAACCUGCCUUUCAGAGGGGGAUAACAUUUGGAAACAGAUACUAAUACCGCAUAAGAUUACAGUACCGCGUGAUACAGUGAUCAAAGGAGCAAUCCGCUGAAAGAUGGGCUCGCGUCCGAUUAGAUAGUUGGUGAGGUAACGGCUCGCCAAGUCGACGAUCGGUAGCCGGACUGAGAGGUUGGACGGCCACAUUGGGACUGAGACACGGCCCAGACUCCUACGGGAGGCAGCAGUGGGGAAUAUUGCACAAUGGGCGAAAGCCUGAUGCAGCAACGCCGCGUGAGGGAAGACGGUUUUCGGACUGUAAACCUCUGUUUUCGGUGACGAAC
rnacentral:rRNA from 1 species